rnacentral:rRNA from 1 species
UGGGGAAUUUUGGACAAUGGGCGCAAGCCUGAUCCAGCCAUGCCGCGUGUCUGAAGAAGGCCUUCGGGUUGUAAAGGACUUUUGUCAGGGAAGAAAAGGGCGGGGUUAAUACCCCUGUCUGAUGACGGUACCUGAAGAAUAAGCACCGGCUCACUACGUGCCAGCAGCCGCGGGAAUACGUAGGGUGCGAGCGUUAAUCGGAAUUACUGGGCGUAAAGCGGGCGCAGACGGUUACUUAAGCAGGAUGUGAAAUCCCCGGGCUCAACCUGGGAACUGCGUUCUGAACUGGGUGACUAGAGUGUGUCAGAGGGAGGUAGAAUUCCACGUGUAGCAGUGAAAUGCGUAGAGAUGUGGAGGAAUACCGAUGGCGAAGGCAGCCUCCUGGGAUAACACUGACGUUCAUGCCCGAAAGCGUGGGUAGCAAACA